rnacentral:lncRNA from 2 species
ACAGGGUGCGCUGGUGGUCUUGUUGGUGGUAGGACUAGAAAUCAGCCCGCGGAAGGGUGUUGGUUUGGUGUGGUGGAGGGCGCAUGCUGUGAACAUUUGGAUGGUGGAGCCUAAGAUAGGUUCCAAGCGAAAGCCUAGGCUGAUGAUUUGUUGGGCUAAUAGCGGGUACACCUUUGGGCAUGGUAAUCCCCUUGUGGCACUGUUGAGGUACCUCCUUCCUCCCUAUCUUGACAAGAAUUUUUAA